rnacentral:rRNA from 1 species
UAGUCAUAUGCUUGUCUCAAAGAUUAAGCCAUGCAUGUCUAAGUAUAAGCAAUCAUACUGUGAAACUGCGUAUGGCUCAUUAAAUCAGUUAUCGUUUAUUUGAUAGUACCUUUACCUGGAUAACCGUGGUAAUUCUAGAGCUAAUACAUGCUAAAAAUCCCGACUUCGGAAGGGAUGUAUUUAUUAGAUAAAAAACCAAUGCCCUUCGGGGCUCCUUGGUGAUUCAUAAUAACUUAACGAAUCGCAUGGCCUUGCGCUGGCGAUGGUUCAUUCAAAUUUCUGCCCUAUCAACUUUCGAUGGUAGGAUAGUGGCCUACCAUGGUCUCAACGGGUAACGGGGAAUUAGGGUUCUAUUCCGGAGAGGGGGCCUGAGAAACGGCUACCACAUCCAAGGAAGGCAGCAGGCGCGCAAAUUACCCAAUCCCAAUUCGAGGAGGUAGUGACUAUAAAUACUGAUACAGGGCUCUUUUGGGUCUUGUAAUUGGAAUGAGUACAAUCUAAAUCCCUUAACGAGGAACAAUUGGAGGGCAAGUCUGGUGCCAGCAGCC